CAUGCCUUCUGCUUCAGUUCCGCCAGGUUCUUGCAGGCAAUCCUUCUGCUCGCUGAGUAAUGUCCUGGUUUGUAACACCGGAUCUUUUUUCUCGGCGGAGGUUCAGCUACUAUACCAUUCUUAUCUCCUGACACGCAUGCUCACUCCUUCCCUGCGCUCUGCCGCAUAACCAAGCGCUCCGGUUCGCAGCCGAACUCCAUCUCCCAGAAUGCUUUGCUUCAAGUCAUUUCGCGCUUGCGCAGUACUUGGGUUUUUGUCAAGCGGUGGUUAUGGAGAUGGGAGAGAAGGAGCGGUGGAACGGGGGCCGGUUCUGUGUAUCGCCUCUGGGACUCGGCCGCUGAUAUUUUGUGCAGCGAUUAAAACUCAGGCCUUGCGACAGAAAGUUCGUCAGGCCUUAGGAGCGGUGAGGUUUGUUUUCUGCUGUGAAUAACUCUGCUUGAACCGGGGGGAUUAUUGCGUGACCUGAAGGAGUUCCCGGCAUUCGCCGCUUCCUGUCUCGUAGCGUCAAGGGCUUUAGAGUCCGGACCUGCAUAAUGCCCCACAAGCUUGGAUUUGUUGUUGUAAAUUCAUCUGGGCAUAAAGAUGGAUUUAGUGCCAAAGAGUUGAUGGUCCAUGCUCCCACUGUCCGUGGCUGGAGAUCUCCAAGCUUUGAAAUGAUCGUCGCUGACCCCAUCUAUAAAGCAAAUGUUCUGUAAGGCUAC